AUCUGGGCCUAUUGGGAGCUUUGAUUUGUUGUAAACUUCAGCUGUUUUAAACGUUAAGUCGCGGGAGACUGAGGCUAAUUUCCAAGGGGAGAUGCCUCACCACAAAAUCUCCCUCUCUGCCCUGCCACAGUUGGUACUGAUUUGACUGUCUCUGCAGAGAAGCCAAGGAUCAAAUGCUCCAUGGCGCCAGACUGUUUUCUUUUGCAGCCUGCAGGAACUGCUGAAGCCUCUGCUCAGAGAAGCACGCUCCUCCGGGCGCUGGGGGAUGCACCACCCCUCCUGACAGUCUGAUGGAUUAUGGCCCCAGUUCUGUCAGCAGAUCCAACCAAACCAGCAAACCGACGGCAGAGAGGCAGC